rnacentral:rRNA from 1 species
CAAGGAUUCCCUAGUAACUGCGAGUGAAGCGGGAAAAGCUCAAAUUUAAAAUCUGGCGGUCUCUGGCCGUCCGAGUUGUAAUCUAGAGAAGUAAUGCCCGUGCUGGACCGUGUAUAAGUCUCCUGGGAUGGGGCGUCAUAGAGGGUGAGAAUCCCGUCUUUGACACGGACUACCAGUGCAUUGUGGUAUGCUCUCAAAGAGUCGAGUUGUUUGGGAAUGCAGCUCAAAAUGGGUGGUAAAUUCCAUCUAAAGCUAAAUAUUGGCGAGAGACCGAUAGCGAACAAGUACCGUGAGGGAAAGAUGAAAAGAACUUUGGAAAGAGAGUUAAACAGUACGUGAAAUUGCUGAAAGGGAAACGCUUGAAGUCAGUCGCGUUGGCCGGGGAUCAGCCUUGCUUUUGCAUGGUGUACUUUCUGGUUGACGGGUCAGCAUCAAUUUUGACCGCUGGAAAAAGACCUGGGGAAUGUGGCAGCUUCGGCUGUGUUAUAGCCCCUAGUCGCAUACAGUGGUUGGGAUUGAGGAACUCAGCACGCCGCAAGGCCGGGUUUCGACCACGUUCGUGCUUAGGAUGCUGGCAUAAUGGCUUUAAGCGACCCGUCUUGAAACACGGACCAAGGAGUCUAACAUGCCUGCGAGUAUUUGGGUGGAAAACCCAAGUGCGUAAUGAAAGUGAAAGUUGAGAUCCCUGUCGUGGGGAGCAUCGACGCCCGGACCAGAACUUUUGGGACGGAUCCGCGGUGGAGCAUGUAUGUUGGGACCCGAAAGAUGGUGAACUAUGCCUGAAUAGGGUGAAGCCAGAGGAAACUCUGGUGGAGGCUCGUAGCGAUUCUGACGUGCAAAUCGAUCGUCAAAUUUGGGUAUAGGGGCGAAAGACUAAUCGAACCAUCUAGUAG